rnacentral:tRNA from 1 species
GUUUUAAUAGUUUAAUAAAAACAUUGGUCUUGUAAACCAAAAUUAAGACAAUCUUUUAAAACU